CCCUUAGAUGUUCUGGGCCGCACGCGUGCUACACUGACCGGCGCAACAAGCUUCUUUCCUUGACCGAUAGGUCUGGGUAAUCUUCGAACGCCGGUCGUGAUGGGGAUAGAUCCUUGCAAUUUUUGAUCUUCAACGAGGAAUUCCUAGUAAACGCGAGUCAUCAUCUCGCAUUGAUUACGUCCCUGCCCUUUGUACACACCGCCCGUCGCACCUACCGAUUGAAUGGUCCGGUGAAACCUCCGGAUUGGCGUGCACCCUCGGGUGCUGCCGAGAAGUUGGCUAAACCUUACCAUUUAGAGGAAGGUGAAGUCGUAACA
rnacentral:rRNA from 1 species